rnacentral:misc_RNA from 1 species
UACGUAGGGGGCUAGCGUUGUUCGGAAUUACUGGGCGUAAAGCGCACGUAGGCGGAUUGUUAAGUGAGGGGUGAAAUCCCGGGGCUCAACCUCGGAACUGCCUCUGAUACUGGCAAUCUUGAGUUCGAGAGAGGAGUGUGGAACUCCGAGUGUAGAGGCGGAAUUCGUAGAUAUUCGGAAGAACACCAGAGGCGAAGGCGGCACUCUGGCCCGAGACUGACGCUGAGGUGCGAAAGCGUGGGGAGCAAACAGG